rnacentral:tRNA from 1 species
UAGGAAGUGGUGUAGAGGAAGCACUAAGAGUUUUGAUCUCUUUAGGUGGGGUUCGAAUCCCCUCUUUCUAA